AGAACGGCCGCUAUUUUGCCUGUUAUUUUUCCAUCGUAACUAAUUGAGGCAAUGGCGGAUAUAUCUAGCUAGCGGAUAUGAAAGCCUAGUCAUGGGGCUCCACUUAGUGACGUGUUAGGCUUACAAUAAGUGAGAAAUGAAGCAGAUAUUGGCGGACAAAUGGGGAAGGCUGCCUCCACCUCAGCUGAUAACAUUAGUAAAAUAGUAAUUGACGAACACAACACACCACGUGGAGAGAAACAAGGUGUGGAGUACCCAAGCCUCUCACAGUCCAUGCUAGUAGACUCACCCUGCAUGUGGAGAUCUCCCAAAAUGCACGGAGGUUAUUCCAGAGCUGCAGGACAGAGUACUUGAGGCCAUUGGUGAACAGAAAGCUGAGGUUGAACAAAGCCAAGAAUUGAUAGCUGCCCAAGGUGUAAGCAAGAUUCACAAUGAUGAGGUCAUUGUGACGUGUGCAAUGUGUCCACUGGUCUUGGCCUUCCUGACCAAGGCAGCCACACAAAGGAAAUUCCACGUUAUUGUUGCCGAACGUGCCCCUAAAUAUGAUGGUCACCCAGUGGCAAAAGCUUUAUGUACUGCUGGAAUUGAGACAACAUUAAUUCAAGACUCUGCAGUGUUCCCCAUCAUGUCACGUGUCAACAAGGUCAUCAAAGGUCAUCGUUGGCACCGAGACGGUGGUGACCAACGGAGGCAUUGAGACCUUUGUUGGUGCAGCCUCUCUUGCCUCACCACCAAAGUUUUAUUCUGUUCCACUGUAUGUGUGCACUCCCACAUACAAAUUUAGCUUGAUGGGCUGUGAAGAAAUGUGAUGCCGGAUAAGAGGGAUUUUACUGUACCCUGUUUAUCUUGCACAUCUACUCACUUAGCUUUAAAUAAUGGCUGCUGACCAUUUAAAUCUCUUUUAUUUCAGUCGAGGUACUGCACCAUCCUACGUGUACCGGCAGCUUAGCGAACUGUACCGUCCCACUUCUUGUGAUCUCUAAGGUAACAGCUUUAAUCCUUGCAAAUAAGGAAUAAGAGAAAAGAGACACACCUGCCAUUUGUACUGUUAUGCUGUAGUGUUCUUUCAUUUUUUUUCCUCUUUUAUCCUAGAACCAUUUUUGGUCAUUCAUGUUUCUAAAAAUUAUUAUACAAAAAUGUUGAGCUUAAUAUGUUUGGUGUAGCUUUUUGUAACAUGUGUUAUUGUUAAUGUGUGUGGUUCCCCUCAGGAAGAAUGUUGCAGUAUUAGCAGUAAUGUUACAGCCAAUGGAAGUGUCUGUAUUGUGCUUUGGUGGGAGGUUAAUUUGAUGUAUUUUUAGAGUUGUGCAGGAUAUUAUAGCAAGCCCUCAAAAUAAAGAAAAUAACUAUAGAAAACACUCCUUGUAUUGAAAACACCACUGCAGAGAAAUCUCUAAUGAAACAGGAAACCCUACAUUCAGUACUGUGUGGUUGUUGCAGUAACACUGAGCUAAAUGCCUUUUGGAUGGUUGUACACUAAAAAUAAUGUAAAAAUGCCUAUAAACAACUGUCCCUGCAUUAAAAACCUUUCAUCAUAAAAUUACACACAAGAUACUCAACCAGUGCAUGAAUGUUCAAGCGGUACCAUUUGCUCCCUUCUGCACAGCUUGCAGCAACACUUCUGGCGCUGCAUAGUGAACAGUGAAGCACGGUGUCUUCGUGCUGCCAUCCUUUUCCUUGUCAGGCAUCAAAUGUGCAAACCCAAAAUCCACAAUCUUAAUAACUGAAUCUUCAGAAGAAUCCUUGAA